rnacentral:rRNA from 1 species
AUUGAACGCUGGCGGCAGGCCUAACACAUGCAAGCCGAACGGUAACAGGAAACAGCUUGCUGUUUCGCUGACGAGUGGCGGACGGGUGAGUAAUGUCUGGGAAACUGCCUGAUGGAGGGGGAUAACUACUGGAAACGGUAGCUAAUACCGCAUAACGUCGCAAGACCAAAGAGGGGGACCUUCGGGCCUCUUGCCAUCGGAUGUGCCCAGAUGGGAUUAGCUAGUAGGGGGGGUAACGGCUCACCUAGGCGACGAUCCCUAGCUGGUCUGAGAGGAUGACCAGCCACACUGGAACUGAGACACGGUCCAGACUCCUACGGGAGGCAGCAGUGGGGAAUAUUGCACAAUGGGCGCAAGCCUGAUGCAGCCAUGCCGCGUGUAUGAAGAAGGCCUUCGGGUUGUAAAGUACUUUCAGCGGGGAGGAAGGGAGUAAAGUCAAUACCUUUGCUCAUUGACGUUACCCGCAGAAGAAGCACCGGCUAACUCCGUGCCAGCAGCCGCAGUAA